rnacentral:rRNA from 1 species
UACGAAGGGUGCAAACGUUGCUCGGAAUUAUUGGGCGUAAAGCGCACGUAGGCGGCUAUCUAAGUCGGAUGUGAAAUCCCUCGGCUUAACCAAGGAAGUGCACCCGAAACUGGAUAGCUUGAGUACAGAAGAGGAUCGCGGAAUUCCCGGUGUAGAGGUGAAAUUCGUAGAUAUCGGGAGGAACACCAGUGGCGAAGGCGGCGAUCUGGGCUGAUACUGACGCUGAGGCGCGAAAGCUAGGGGAGCAAACGGG